rnacentral:sRNA from 1 species
AAAUUUACUCGGUAAACACGUCUUUUUAAAUUAAAGUUAGGUUGUUAAUAGUAACCAAAACCGCACCCAAAACCGCAUCAAAACAGUGCUGUAACAGUAUCAAAAUUUUUACAUAUACAUACGUAUCUAUGUAUUUUCGUUACUGUUUGAACCGCACCGCACUUCUCCUGUACCGCAAAACGCAGUCACCAUUCCGAGCCUUAAUAUUGUUUAGCUUUGAUAUUUAAA